AGAUACCCUGUUACUUAUAAUUAAAAAAUUUUGGAAUAGUAAUAAUAAUGAAAUUUAACGGAUUUGGCGGCAAGAUAGCCAUUUAGAGGAACCUGCCCUAUAAACGAUGAACCACGAAAUACUUUGCUUUUAAUUGUUAUCAGUUUGUAUACCGCUGUUGUCAGUCAGUUUUUUCAGAAAUCUUUCUAUAAUGAUAAAAUCAAUUACUUCAAGUAAAGGUGCAGCUUAUGUAAAAGUUAGAGGUGGGUUACAUUUAUAAGAUUAAAACGAAUAAAGAUUUUGAAAAAUCUUUUGAAGGUGGAUUUAAAUGUAAAGUUUAAAAAAACUC
rnacentral:rRNA from 1 species